rnacentral:rRNA from 1 species
AUUGAACGCUGGCGGCAUGCUUUACACAUGCAAGUCGAACGGUAACAGGCCGCAAGGUGCUGACGAGUGGCGAACGGGUGAGUAAUGCAUCGGAGCGUGCCCAGUCGUGGGGGAUAACUGCUCGGAAGAGCAGCUAAUACCGCAUACGAUCUAUGGAUGAAAGCGGGGGACCGUAAGGCCUCGCGCGAUUGGAGCGGCCGAUGUCAGAUUAGGUAGUUGGUGGGGUAAAGGCUCACCAAGCCAACGAUCUGUAGCUGGUCUGAGAGGACGACCAGCCACACUGGGACUGAGACACGGCCCAGACUCCGACGGGAGGCAGCAGUGGGGAAUUUUGGACAAUGGGGGCAACCCUGAUCCAGCAAUGCCGCGUGCAGGAAGAAGGCCUUCGGGUUGUAAACUGCUUUUGUACGGAACGAAACGGUCUGGGUUAAUACCCUGGGCUAAUGACGGUACCGUAAGAAUAAGCACCGGCUAACUACGUGCCAGCAGCCGCAGUAAAAC